GAUGAACGCUGGCGGCGUGCCUAAUACAUGCAAGUCGAGCGAACGGACGAGAAGCUUGCUUCUCUGAGGUUAUCGGCGGACGGGUGAGUAACACGUGGUUAACCUACCUAUAAGACUGGGAUAACUUCGGGAAACCGGAGCUAAUACCGGAUAAUAUUUUGAACCGCAUGGUUCAAAAGUGAAAGAAGGUCUUGCUGUCACUUAUAGAUGGAUCCGCGCUGCAUUAGCUAGUUGGUAAGGUAACGGCUUACCAAGGCAACGAUGCAUAGCCGACCUGAGAGGGUGAUCGGCCAGACUGGAACUGAGACACGGUCCAGACUCCUACAGGAGGAAGCAGUAGGGAAUCUUCCGCAAUGGGCGAAAGCCUGACGGAGCACCGCCGCGUGAGUGAUGAAGGUCUUCGGCUCGUAAAACUCUGUUAUUAGGGAAGAACAUAUGUGUAAGUACCUGUGAACAUCUUGACGGUACCUAAUCAGAAAGCCACGGCUAACUCCGUG
rnacentral:rRNA from 1 species